rnacentral:rRNA from 1 species
GAUGAACGCUGGCGGCGUGCUUAACACAUGCAAGUCGAACGGAAAGGCUCCUGUUUGCAGGGGUACUCGAGUGGCGAACGGGUGAGUAACACGUGGGUGAUCUGCCCUGCACUUCGGGAUAAGCUUGGGAAACUGGGUAUAAUACCGGAUAGGACGAUGGACUGGAUGACAUUGUGGAAAGUUUUUCGGUGUGGGAUGAGCUUGCGGCCUAUCAGCUUGUUGGGGGGGUAAUGGACUACCAAGGCGUCGUAGGGUAGCCGGCCUGCGAGGGUGUACGGCCACAUUGGGAUUGAGAUACGGCCCAGACUCCUACGGGAGGCAGCAGUGGGGAAUAUUGCACAAUGGGCUCAAGCCUGAUGCAGCGACGCCGCGUGGGGGAUGACGGCCUUCGGGUUGUAAACUCCUUUCGCUAGGGACGAAGCGCAAGUGACGGUACCUGGAGAAGAAGCACCGGCUAACUACGUG